AAAACUGUUCGAGUCAUCAAGAGGACAGAUGUCACUUUCGCCGCUCCAAGGAGUCACUGUUAUUGUUUCACCGUGAAAAUGUUGAGGUUCUGCGCAUUUGAAAACAGUUCUAAGCAGGAACAUCUGGUUGUACUGGGUGGACGUGUGUAAACCUUAUAAACCUUUCCUACAAAAAUUUGAGAGCACUGGGCGUGGCCAAUCAAACAGCACAACUCUGAAAAUCUCUUCUGUUUAGGAAUAUGAAAUUCCCCCAAUAAAUACAUCAGCACAUAUAA